rnacentral:tRNA from 1 species
UCGGCGAUGUGCGAGUGGUUAAGGAGAUUGACCAGGAAUUGAUUGGGGUCCUCCCACGUAGGAUCGAAUCCUGCUCGCUGAG